rnacentral:rRNA from 1 species
GACGAACGCUGGCGGCGUGCUUAACACAUGCAAGUCGAACGGAAAGGCCCUGCUUUUGUGGGGUGCUCGAGUGGCGAAGGGGUGAGUAACACGUGAGUAACCUGCCCUUGACUUUGGGAUAACUUCAGGAAACUGGGGCUAAUACCGGAUAGGAGCUCCUGCUGCAUGGGGGGGGUUGGAAAGUUUCGGCGGUUGGGGAUGGACUCGCGGCUUAUCAGCUGGUUGGUGGGGGAGUGGCUUACCAAGGCUUUGGCGGGUAGCCGGCCUGGGAGGGUGACCGGCCACAUUGGGACUGGGAUACGGCCCAGACUCCUACGGGAGGCAGCGGUGGGGAAUAUUGCCCAAUGGGCGGAAGCCUGAUGCGGCAACGCCGCGUGCGGGAUGACGGCCUUCGGGUUGUAAACCGCUUUCGCCUGUGACGAAGCGUGAGUGACGGUAAUGGGUAAAGAAGCACCGGCUAACUACGUG